rnacentral:rRNA from 1 species
UAACUGGAGAGUUUGAUCCUGACUCAGGACGAACGCUGGCGGCGUGCUUAAUACAUGCAAGUCGAGCUAGCUACUUCGGUAGCGAGCGGCGCACGGGUGAGUAACGCGUAGAUGAUCUACCCUCGAGAAUGAGAUACCUCCGGGAAACUGGAGUUAAUACCAGAUAACGCACAUUGGUUGGUUCUGAUGUGUUAAAGCGGUGCAAGUCGCACUUGAGGAUGAGUCUGCGGCCUAUCAGCUUGUUGGUGGGGUAACGGCCUACCAAGGCGAAGACGGGUAGCUGAUCUGAGAGGAUGAUCAGCCACAU